UCGACCUCCACAUUACAAUUAACUAGCAACUUUCAAAAAAUAAAAUAAGCCUAUAGAAUCCUAAAUAGAACUAGGGCAUGCAAAUUUGUAAAGCCCGAAACCUAAAAUAUUUGCAUCUUCUCAUUUCGUAUUCUCUGAAUUCUUUGAGAAAAAUCUCUAUUGGUGGCCAUGCAAAUUAGGGUUUGGCUGUGCUGAAGCUUACACCAGAGUUUUGAACUGCUACUUCUUGGCUUAAUAGUUUUUAAAAGCAACAUAUUUGUAUGGUCAGCUCAUGGAGCAGAUAGUGGGAUGCUUGGAUCAAUGAAGCUGACUAGAAGACCUUUCUGCAGAACUCAUCAACCUAUUCAGGCAAUGAUGGGUUCUUUCUUUCCUUUCUUCAUACAUUCUUCUGUUCCUUUUGUGUUUAUAUUUUUGUCAUCAAUGUUGAUCUUUUCUCAACUAUUCCCAUGACUUGUGUGAGAUCUUGCAAACAGUUUGAUCUUUAUAAAUAAAAUGUAUUACAUGUAGAUGUUUUAUUAAUGUA